rnacentral:lncRNA from 1 species
AACAACAGAGCAAUUGGUUUUUUCAAACCCAAACAACAGAGCAAUAUUUUCUGAAAGUCCUAAAAAGCUAACAGCAAAACACAACAGCAAGAAAUUUCUCAAAAAACCUAAAAACUUAAGGAAAAGCAAAGGGAAGGUGGUUUACCUCAUUGAAGAAUCGCUCGUCGAAGAGAACCGAUGCCGGCAUCCGGAGGAUGUCACCGAACCCG